rnacentral:lncRNA from 1 species
CAUUUCACUAUCUGAAGAGCAGAAAAUGUGUUAAUAGGAGCCUGGUGAGUGGAGGAGACUGAAGAUGGAGAGAGAGCCUGGACCUCAACAUGAGCAUCUGGAGCCAUUUGGCAGCAUUAGGCUGUGACCGCUUAGAGAACCGAAAGGUGCAGAGCUUUAAAGGAUUAUGGAGUCUGAAGACCAAAUGGGAUGAUGGAGAACAGCUAUUCAGUGGUACAAAUGUAAAUGCUCCCAGGCCCGGGCAGGCACAGCACUUUGGAAGACAGGCA